rnacentral:rRNA from 1 species
GACGAACGCUGGCGGCGGGCUUAACACAUGCAAGUCGAACGGAAAGGCCCUGCUUGUGUGGGGUGCUCGAGUGGCGAACGGGUGAGUAACACGUGAGUAACCUGCCCUUGACUUUGGGAUAACUUCAGGAAACUGGGGCUAAUACCGUAUAGGAUCUCCUGCUGCAUGGUGGGGGGUGGAAAUUUUCGGCGGGUGGGGAUGGACUCGCGGCUUAUCAGCUUGCUGGUGGGGUAGUGGCUUACCAAGGCUUUGACGGGUAGCCGGCCUGAGAGGGUGAACGGCGACAUUGGGACUGAGAUAGGGAGCAGACUGCUACGGGAGGCAGUAGUGGGGAGUAUUGCACAAUGGGCGGACGUCUGAUGCAGCAACGUCGCGUGUGGGAUGACGGCCUUCGGGGUGUAAAAAGCUUUAGCCUGUGACGCAGCGUGAGUGACGGUAAUGGGUAAAGAAGCACCGGCUAACUACGUG